rnacentral:rRNA from 1 species
UACGUAGGUGGCAAGCGUUAUCCGGAUUUAUUGGGCGUAAAGCGAGCGCAGGCGGUUGCUUAGGUCUGAUGUGAAAGCCUUCGGCUUAACCGAAGAAGUGCAUCGGAAACCGGGCAACUUGAGUGCAGAAGAGGACAGUGGAACUCCAUGUGUAGCGGUGGAAUGCGUAGAUAUAUGGAAGAACACCAGUGGCGAAGGCGGUUGUCUGGUCUGCAACUGACGCUGAGGCUCGAAAGCAUGGGUAGCGAACAGG